UACGAACCGUACAAACGUUAUUCGGAAUCACUGGGCGUAAAGGGUGCGUAGGCGGGUCUUUAAGUCAGGGGUGAAAUCCUGGAGCUCAACUCCAGAACUGCCUUUGAUACUGAGGAUCUUGAGUUCGGGAGAGGUGAGUGGAACUGCGAGUGUAGAGGUGAAAUUCGUAGAUAUUCGCAAGAACACCAGUGGCGAAGGCGGCUCACUGGCCCGAUACUGACGCUGAGGCACGAAAGCGUGGGGAGCAAACAGG
rnacentral:rRNA from 1 species